CUUGCCCUCAAGUUUUCAUGUGCGCCCAACUUUUUAACUUUUAUUUCUUAAAUCUCAAACUCGCAAAUCGCGGUUAGGGCUUUGGCUAGGGCAUACAAGCUCCCAAAAUUUCCUCACCCAAAUUCAUUCAGCCACCAUAAAUCCUGAAGAAUCCCCUAAAUCCUAUGCACCCUCAAGCCCUAAAACUCUCUCCCCUCUCAGCAAAAACCCUAAGUCAGUUCAUUCUCCUAUCUCUUCUCUCACUCAAGCGCUCUGUCCAUCAAUCUUCUCCUCCCUCCGGUCAACCGCCAGCAAACGCCGCCUCCUCUUCCUCACUGACCGCCAGCUAAUGGUUCGAUUUGAAGGAAGAUCAUGAUCAGUCGUCUUCAUUUUGAUCAAAGAAGGAGGAGAUUAGGAUCAAUUGCUUAAGGUUUAACAGAUUUAUCCAUAUCAAGUUAUUUGAGGAUUCCUUUGGAUGUGAUUCCACCAAAUUCUAGGGCUAAAAAUUAUAUGGUGCUUAGGUAUUACAAUUUCAAAAGUUCGCCAUCAUGCAGAUCCCACCACCAAACGCCACAAGGUCAACAACCCUUGAGGUGUUUAAAAGAAUCCUCAAAGCAUAUGCAACAAAACUUUAUUCUCGAUUACCCAAGGGGGGUUCAGGGCUAGUUGCAGCUGCUACUGGUACAAAUGGGCAAAUCAAUGUUAUAUAAGCACUCUUUUACUUGUUGCUUGUUCCUAGUGAGUAUUGGACAGGUUCCUAGUGAAAUUGGCGAAAUUGGCGAUUGAGGCUGACAGGUUCCUAGUGAGUAUUUGACAUUGAGGCACAAGUUUUUGGAAACAAAUAGAGAAUAUAAAGUCUUUGACCAAGAAGUUUCAUUUUUUGUAAUCAAAUGUUGAUGUUGUUUGAAUAUUAGUUCGGUACGAUAUUUUCUGAGCUGAAAUGUUGGUAAUGUGGAUUUUAUACUUUGUAGUUUUUAUACUAUACCGAUGUAUGUUGACACUUAUCAUUAUAGUUGAUUAUGCUCAACAUUUUCACUUUGA